GAUACAAAAGGUGUUUCUUCUGGCGUAAGACAGUUAAGUGAUCAAUUCGGGAAGUUAAGCAUGACUCUAAGCAAUGGUAGUAGGGUGGAUUCAAGCAAGAGCUAUAGUAAUAUUACUUUAGCUGGUUCUGUUAGUAUCUGAGAUAAAUUCAAGAGCAACAUCUUCUUUAUCAACGUUUCAAAGCUGCGCAACCUGCUGGUCAUUGUGAAGAUGAUAAUAUUCCAGCAUAAAGAAAUCGAGUUACCUGAACAAGCUCAAGUUCCGAAUAGAAAAUUACAAGAUUUUGGUGACAUCAAGAUAUGAAUUUCAAAGUUUUGGAUCAACAUAUAAAUUGGAAACAUUGAAUCUUGCAGAUGCCAUGACCCUUUUUCAGAAAUUGGCAUUACCAUCGGAUCAGCAGUCAUAUGCUCCAGAUCAAAAAAGUCUAGAGGAGGUGAUUUAUUCUCGUCAAAUAGGAUAGAAUAUUAGAUGGAUAUUGGUAAUAGAUGAAAAAUGUAUGUUGUAAAAGAAAUUUAUGUUUAAUUUUAUGUGUCGCACGUCACCGUGCGGCGUCGGCUGGCGAUUUUCUAGUUCAUUUGCUUAAUUCGUUAGGAGUCGCCACCUAGUAUUAUGGUAACUAGGAACCUAUGAUCUGCGAGAGUCUGGGUAAGGGACUGGUUAUGCAAAGGGAAGACGCAUCACCCCCAAUGCACCCUACCUAAGGUAAACUGCAUUGUUAUUUGAUUGUUUUUUAAGUCGAGUUUCUAUUUGUUGGUC